CCCAGAAGCAUUGGGAGACAAUUGAGUCCUAUGGAGAAAACAACAAAGGCACAUUUGGGAGAAAAAAGGUGGUGGGAACCACCUGCUUACCCUUGCCGUCCUCUUCUCCAGGACGAGGAUUUCUGGUUGUAUCUGCAAGAGAAAAGCAAGAGAGAAAGCAGAGGUUGAGGAAUUGUAUUAAUGAGACUGCAAAGUGGAUCAAUCCUGCCACAUGAUGGGCAGCACUGUCUCACCUCUCUGGACGUUAUCCAGCAGUCAGCUG